rnacentral:lncRNA from 13 species
CGGGGGCGAAAUUACCCCAAAUCGCGAUGUGCCAGGGGCUGUCCCCACCAUCCACCUCCUUCGCUUUGUUUUGCGCCGGUUUUGCUGGAGGAGACCAAACGCCAGGUCCAAAGGAGCGUGCUAAGCUUUUUUCCCCAGCAGAAGGAUUUCAUAUUAUACAAUUUGACAUUGAUCUUUAAAUCGCCUGAGCUGUGCUUUUUUUGUCUUCUCGGUCUCAUCGCGUUUACUUCCCUGUCCUCAGAGAGAUGCCUCCCCGGGUUUGAGCGUCAUGAAGGAUGCGGGAUCUCCCCGAGUGGGCAGUGGAGGGACUCUCCCGCGGAUGCUGGCGGCAAAAGCACAAACCAACCUCUUCCGAAAGAGCGGCCGGGGCGGGGGAAGGAGCACGGAGCAGCCCCGCUGCCCGGCCUUGCUUGCUGUGGGAGAACGGGAGAACCGAGCGUCUCCCAGCUCCGCUCUUCCCCGCCGGGGCUCCGCAGGGGCCGGGGCCGCGGGGCUGCGCCGGCGCCUUUGGUUAGACCGAAAAGACCCAAAAUAAAAAACCGCGGUUUCCCCACCCCGUCCCCCCGUUGUUUUUUUUUCCUUCUGCCCUUUCCCUUCCCUUAUUGAAAGUGAAUGCCUUUCCCCUGGCAUUUUCAGCAUUUUUUUUUACCCCAAAGAUCAGCCCAAGCCGUCGCCCUCCCGAGCCUCUGGUUGCUUUAAAAAUAAUAAUAAUUAUAAACGGGUAAGAGUGAAGGAGCUUGUAUUUACACUAAACAAAACGCUCCCAAAAGGGUCACUAAAAAAGUCUGCCUUGACCCCUCUCUCUCCGGUUUAACAAAGAAGGAAAAUAUUGUAUCAAAAGUGAAGUGAAUGGGGAAGGCGGAGAAGAGAAACAGCUUUUCCUCUCUUCAGCUGGGAAGGGGGGAGAAACGUUUGAAUAUUUCCGUUUCUUUUGAGAAGCGGGGCAGCCCCGGGCAGGGCUGAAUGGGAAAGUCUUGUAAGCGGGCUGGGAGGCUGUCAAACUGCUCAGAGUAAUCACUGCUAAUGAAGGGGUCUCCAGCCCUCCCUGGGACAAAGGAUGCUUACGAGUGCUCGCCGGGGCUGAAUACCUAAUAAGUUUGCAAGGGGGAAAAAUGAGUGAGCUGUCCGUAAAUUGAUUUUGCAAGGAAAAAAAAAAAAAACCAACAGAAAAAACUCCUUGCGACAACAACAAAAAAGGAAAAAGCAAAGGCUUGCAGGCUGGGGAGAGAGCCUGGCCCCAGUGCAGCUGGGGACAGAAGGCCCACUUUUCCAGGCAGCAUUGUCCCAGUCCCACACUGCAGAGGAGGACUGCUGCUGCUUGCAGUGGAAACUGGGGUGCAGGGAGGGCUGGGGGACGCAAGAGCCUUGGAAAAACCACACUGGCCUCUCCAGGCCGAGGGUACUGCCCCAGCUGCUGCCUGGCCCAUGCGGGUGCUCCCUGUAUGCCCAUCCUCAUGCUCCACUUUGCACAAGCCUUGCAGAGUGCUCAUCCCAUCCCCAUCCCACAGCGCAGUCCCACAAAAGGGACUGUUCCCUAUUUGUUCUGCCACUGCCUUUUGCCC